rnacentral:rRNA from 1 species
AACGAACGCUGGCGGCAGGCUUAACACAUGCAAGUCGAACGCCCCGCAAGGGGAGUGGCAGACGGGUGAGUAACGCGUGGGAAUCUACCCAUCCCUACGGAACAACUCCGGGAAACUGGAGCUAAUACCGUAUACGCCCUUAGGGGGAAAGAUUUAUCGGGGAUGGAUGAGCCCGCGUUGGAUUAGCUAGUUGGUGGGGUAAAGGCCUACCAAGGCGACGAUCCAUAACUGGUCUGAGAGGAUGAUCAGCCACAUUGGGACUGAGACACGGCCCAAACUCCUACGGGAGGCAGCAGUGGUGAAUAUUGGACAAUGGGCGCAAGCCUGAUCCAGCCAUGCCGCGUGAGUGAUGAAGGCCUUAGGGUUGUAAAGCUCUUUCACCGAUGAAGAUAAUGGCGGUAGUCGGAGAAGAAGCCCCGGCUAACUUCGUGCCAGCCGCCGCCGUAAAAC